rnacentral:rRNA from 1 species
UAUCUCUGUAGAGUCUGCAUAUCAAUAAGCGGAGGAAAAGAAACUAACAAGGAUUCCCCUAGUAACGGCGAGUGAAGCGGGAAGAGCUCAAAUUUGAAAUCUUCAAGGUUUGACCUUGACGAAUUGUAGUUUAAAGAAGUGUUUUCGGUUAGAGGAGUAGUAAAAGUUCUUUGGAAUAGGACAUCAUAGAGGGUGAGAAUCCCGUAUUUGACUAUUCUUUCUAGCUUUGUGAUACACUUUCAAAGAGUCGGAUUGUUUGGGAAUGCAGUCCAAAAUGGGUGGUAAAUUUCAUCUAAAGCUAAAUAUUGGCGAGAGACCGAUAGCGAACAAGUACCGUGAGGGAAAGAUGAAAGGAACUUUGAAAAGAGAGUUAAACAGUACGUGAAAUUGUCAAAAGGGAAGCGUUUGACACCAGUGUUGUUUUUCCGAAAAUCAAUUAAAAAUUGAUUCAUGCCAGGUUGUAUUGACCUUAUCAGCUUGCAAUUUGGUUUUGGGUCUCUUUUUGAUGCACUUUUCGGUUAACAAGUCAACAUCAAUUUCCUUUGCUGUAAAAAGGUAAGAGGAAGGUGGCUUCAAUUUCGGUUGAAGUGUUUAUAGCCUUUAAUCUCUGCAGUCGGGGAGAUUGAGGUCUGCAGCGUAGAUCCUUCGGGGCUAGAUACAUUUAUGCUAAGUUAUAGCUUUUCAUAGACAACUUGUUGACUAUGUUUAGUCAUGUAGCUUACUCGUAAGUGCUAUUUUACCUACGCUUAGGAUGUUGAGCGCAUGUCUCUCUCU